AAAGUGUCUUAUGAUAAUUCAGACACCACAAAUCUCCCCAUGAUAAUUAAAGUCACAUAUUAACAAUAUGCCAUUAAAAAUAACAAAAAUUACAACUCAUGCCAUUCAUAUAUAUUAUUGCAACUUAGGUACUAUCCAAAGCCGUUCCGGGAUCUUUUGCUUUCGAGGCCACAAGAACUAGCCAAUAACAUCGAAGCUUGCUGCACUUCAUCGUACACAAUUUUCGUGGCGCGUUUGCUUCAACCGCUGAUGAUCAAAAGCUGUCCGAUGAUCCUUCCUCUCUAUCUCUCGUCCCCCAACGAUGCCCGCCACCACUAGUGAGCCUUUGACAGUCGACGUCACCAAAGAUCAGAGCCAAAUGCGCACAUGAGACUCCAAAAUGAUCUUCUUACUAAUCGAUUGGAAUCAAGUACUACACCUCUUCAAGGCCGCCGCCGAGAUCACCGACUCCGAUCCGCAAAACAACUGACGAUGCGACUCUGCAGCGUUCCGUCGCUUCUGUUUCUCUGUCUCCGGUGCUGCGGUGGAAAGCGACUGUGAGGAUCACAUUUUCAAGUAAUGGUGAGAGUGGGAAGAAGAAGGAAAAGACCAGGUCUUGGUUGAAGAAGAAGAAGAAGAAGAGAGUAGAGAGAUUUAUGGUAUGGUGAGGAGCGAAAGAAAAAGAGUGGGAGAAAAGUUGGUGUUUGCUUGAAGAAGAGGAAGAUUGUAGCUUCCAAAUGUGGAUCAUCUUCUUAUUCCAAAGUUAGAGGCUUAUUCUUCAUGAUAAUUAGGAAGAAGAACCAGAGCAGCAGCUGCAACAUAAAGAGCAGCUUCAGCAAGGUACCCUUACCUUGUUUAUCCUAGUGCCUUAUCAAGUUUCAUGAAUUGAAUUGGAGUUAGAUUACCUGCUUUCUUGGUAAUGAAUAAUACAAUGAUUGACGGAAAGAAUGGUUGGAAAAACUUUCAGGGUGCCGGGUUGAUAAAUAUUGCGUUCAUUUUGGGAGCCUUCAAUUUAUAUGUAACCAAGAAAUUUUAUUGAGAAUUGGAGCUUUGCAUUCUUAUGGGGCCUAGAAGUGAAUUAAGAAUGGUUUAGAUAUGCUUACUGCCAGAAGCCAAAUAGAUUAGAAUAUGUCUUAUGAAGUAAAAGUUACUUGGUUGAAGUAAUGAUUAGAGAUGGUUGAGUACUUGAAUUGCUAUUGUCUGAUUAUGGAAUUUCCUUACCGUCAUGGCUUCAUGUAGAAUGCUACAUGGAAAUCCAACACUACGAAAACUAAGGAAAUGUACGUGGGCUGAUCAUAUGUACUUGGCUUAAUUUAAGCAGUAGAAGACUUUAAUUGUGUGCGCAAUGGAUCGAGCAAGGAGGGCAAAAACGUUGGUAGCAAACGUUCCUAGCCAAGUUAUUGGCCACAUGUCACUGGCUAUGUCAUUGGUCAAGUUACUAUUAGACUCAAAUCACCGACAAAGUCACUGACCAUAUCACUAGCCAAGUUGCAUGUCACUUUCCAAGUCAUUGUUAUACACGUCCCUGACCAUGUCACUUACAAUGUAUGUAACUGACCAUGUAACUAAUUAUGUAACUGAUCAUGUCACUUCCAAUGUAUGUGACUGACCAUGUCACUGACCAAGUAACUGUCAGUAGCCAA